GAAAUGCGAUAAGUAAUGUGAAUUGCAGAAUUCAGUGAAUCAUCGAAUCUUUGAACGCACAUUGCGCCCGCCAGUAUUCUGGCGGGCAUGCCUGUUCGAGCGUCAUUUCAACCAUCAAGCCCCGGGCUUGUGUUGGGGACCUGCGGCUGCCGUAGGCCCUGAAAAGCAGUGGCGGGCUCGCUGUCACACCGAGCGUAGUAGCAUACAUCUCGCUCUGGGCGUGCUGCGGGUUCCGGCCGUUAAACCACCUUCGUAUCCCAAGGUUGACCUCGGAUCAGGUAGGAAGACCCGCUGAACUUAAGC
rnacentral:misc_RNA from 1 species